AACGAACGCUGGCGGCAGGCCUAACACAUGCAAGUCGAACGAAGCCUUCGGGCUUAGUGGCGGACGGGUGAGUAACACGUGGGAACGUACCUUUUGGUUCGGGAUAACGCAGAGAAAUUUGCGCUAAUACCGAAUGAGCCCUUAGGGGGAAAGAUUUAUCGCCGAAAGAUCGGCCCGCGUUGGAUUAGGUAGUUGGUGUGGUAAAGGCGCACCAAGCCUACGAUCCAUAGCUGGUCUGAGAGGAUGAUCAGCCACGCUGGGACUGAGACACGGCCCAGACUCCUACGGGAGGCAGCAGUGGGGAAUCUUGCGCAAUGGGCGAAAGCCUGACGCAGCCAUGCCGCGUGAAUGAUGAAGGUCUUAGGAUUGUAAAAUUCUUUUACCAGGGACGAUAAUGACGGUACCUGGAGAAAAAGCCCCGGCUAACUUCGUGCCAGCCGCCGCAGUAACAC
rnacentral:rRNA from 1 species